AGAGAUGCAAAUUAACAAUGGCUUGAAAAAUAUUGAAUUUUAUGUCUCUCUCAUCAAAAUGUAUGAUCUUCACAGUCAUAGAGGAGUCAGUCUUGACCUUAUCUUGCUCUUCCAUCUGUAUGGUUUUGUUCUGAUUUUUGAGGUCUAAGGUGGUACAUCACUCUGUCCAAAUUUUAGCCAGUAGUGGCAAGAGAAAUAGAAGCGGACAUCCUUUCUCUUUCACAGGCAUACAUCGCUUCUUCUCAUGUAGACAUUAUUACCAAAGGAAAAGGGGAAAACAGAUAUUUGGGUAGAUCUCUAAAUCUCUGCUACAUAAAUUGAGAAGAGUAAAAAUAGGACUAAACUUGAAAAGGUGUAUUUUAGGAUAGCAUGAUCACAUAUAUAAUUUCUAAUUUAUCUGUAGCCACA
rnacentral:lncRNA from 10 species